GAAAUGCGAUAAGUAAUGUGAAUUGCAGAAUUCAGUGAAUCAUCGAAUCUUUGAACGCACAUUGCGCCCGCCAGCAUUCUGGCGGGCAUGCCUGUUCGAGCGUCAUUUCAACCCUCAAGCCCCCGGGUUUGGUGUUGGGGAUCGGGCUGCGGUUCUACCGCGUCCCGGCCCCGAAAUCUAGUGGCGGUCUCGCUGCAGCCUCCAUUGCGUAGUAGCUAACACCUCGCAACUGGAACGCGGCGCGGCCAAGCCGUUAAACCCCCAACUUCUGAAUGUUGACCUCGGAUCAGGUAGGAAUACCCGCUGAACUUAAGC
rnacentral:misc_RNA from 1 species